rnacentral:rRNA from 1 species
CCUACGGGAGGCAGCAGUGAGGAAUAUUGGUCAAUGUGCGCGAGCCUGAACCAGCCAAGUAGCGUGAAGGAUGACUGCCCUACGGGUUGUAACCUUCUUUUAUAAAGGAAUACAGUGAGGCACGUGUGCCUUUUUGUAUGUACUUUAUGAAUAAGGAGCGGCUAACUCCGUGCAAGCAGCCGCGGUAAUACGGAGGAUCCGAUCGUUAUCCGGAUUUAUGGGGUUUAAAGGGAGCGUAGAUGGGUUGUUAAGUCAGUUGUGAAAGUUUGCGGCUCAACCGUAAAAUUGCACUUGAUACUGGCAGCCUUGAGUACAGAUGAGGUAGGCGGAAUUCGAGGUGUAGCAGGGAAAUGCUUAGAUAUCACGAAGAACUCCGAUUGCGAAGGCAGCCUACUAAACUGCCACUGACAUUGAUGCUAGAAAGUGUGGGUAUCAAACAGGAUGAGAUACCCGUGUAGUC